UUCUUUAAUUGAGAGGGGAGGUGUCUUUUUUUAACACUACACUUGCCCGUCUUCCAUCCUUAAUCUUCCUCUAAUUUGUAAACUUUGAAGAGAAAAAAUGGAGAAAAUGAACCAGGCAUUGGAGAAGAUGAAAAUGUUGGUGGGAAUGGAUGUAGAAGAUGAAGAAGUAGCUCCUCAACAAGAAUCUUCCUUUGCUUUCAUGGAUGAUUUGAAUCGCAACUGCACUUUGUCGACCAAACAGAGGCUUUAUGGUUUUGCUAUAUGCUUAACAACUGGUAUCGCCUGUACUCUCUUGUCAAUGCUGGUUUUCUUCAAUCCAAUCAAGUUUGGAAUAACAUUUUCUUUUGGGAAUUUGCUUGCUCUUGGAAGCACAGCAUUCCUCAUAGGGCCUAAACGACAAGUGACAAUGAUGCUUGACCCAGUUCGUAUAUAUGCCACUGCCAUUUAUAUAGCAAGCAUUAUCAUUGCUCUGUUUUGUGCUCUAUAUGUGCGGAACAAGCUACUGACACUGCUGUCAAUUAUAUUGGAGUUUGGUGCACUUAUCUGGUAUAGUUUGAGUUACAUUCCUUUUGCAAGGUCCAUGGUCUCCAAAGUGAUGAUGGCUUGCUUUGAUACAGAAUUCUAGGGUUGUAUUACCCUGAGGGAAGAAUUAUACAUGCAAAUAUGUACCGUGUACAUUUGGCAAGUUUGCACCACUUGCAACAGCCAGCAGGUGUUUUAAUCCAUAGAAGGGGGGUUAGGUGAGUGCACCUUUGGUCAAAUGAAGGUCUUUUGAUUGAAAUGUGUUGUUUAUUAAACGAGUUAACUUCUGAUCCUAUGUAACACCUAAAUUUUUCAUCUUCAAAGUAAAUGGAUACUAUCGAGUUGGGUAUCAAACGGUGGUUAGGUUGGUCAAAAAUUUGGGCAAAUGGAUUGCUAUAAUAAAUGUGUUGCCAAUGUUUACAUGGGUUAGGAUGGGCUGAGCAAUGAGUUAGUUAUAAUUCAAUUCACCCAACUUUAUUCAAUGUUUCAUUUGUUUGGUUUUCCCAUUAUUCGUAUUAAAACUUCAAAUUUGUGAU